rnacentral:lncRNA from 10 species
CAGUGUUGACAUUUGCUUUGUUAAUGUUAAUUCCAGUACACUGGUGAUGAUCGCAGAAAGAUAUGAUCCUGGGCCUUGAAGAGCUGACAAUCUAAGUCAACUCACAGAAUUUUACAUAAAGGAGCUGAAGUUCAAGGAAAUUCUUAUUCAUUCAAUCAACUCAUGCUGAGAGAUACAUUGCUCAGAAAAUUGUCCGGUUAAUUGACAACAGAGUAAAUAUUGGAACCUAGACAUGUUGACUCACUCAGAGCUCUGCACCCCUCUCCACUCCUUCACUGCUACACUGUACAGUCGCGAGAAGACACAGACAUAGGAAAAACAGAAAGUUUUCCGUCGUUUGAUGGCAUGGGCAGGAGCAGUGGCUCAUGCUUAUAAUCUAAGCACUUUGGGAAGCCAAGAAAAAGAAGAUCUGUGACUAUGUUUGACAAGGAAUCGUUGUCCAUCUAAGCAGAUUACGAGAGGACUCAAAUAAUCUAACACAUUCUGAUUCACCAAGGGAACCCAGCUCCUUAAAACCCGCCUGGAUAUGUUUGGGACUCACAUAAAAUUUGAAAAAAAGAAAAGCCCUCUUUUCAAAAAUAAAAAUAAGAGCAAAUAAACUUGCUAUUCGUGUCUUUUAAAAUCUCUAAAAUGAGACGUGCUGAAAAUAAUUGUCAGACCUGUCUUCUGUGUGUAAUCCAUAACAAGGGACAUGUCCAAGAAGGUUAGUGGUUGGACUCCCUCUGAUUUAGAGCAUGCUAACAAAAGAAGAACAUUUCAACAAGUUUUUAAUGCCUACCAUAUGCCCAGUUAAAAUCAAACUAGAAAUGAGUUGGACUGAAUAAGCAAUGGGACAAGAUUUCUCUAUAGCUCUUAUUUCUCCCUAGGAACAUUACCCAGGAGAAUGUGUGACUUAUUUUCUAUGGUAUCAAGAGCCAGUAAGAAGAAACAGAAGGCACCAGUAGGGAUAGCAUAAAACAAAAACAAAACAAAACAGCCCUUAAUCUUGGCUUAGGAGUCCAGAACAAUUAUACUUUCACAUUUUCCUUCCUAAUUUGUAUUUUCUGUUUUCAAGAAAUUUCCAGACAGCUACAGAGUGGUGUAAUGCCAACAUAUUUUCAAAGGUAUUUUUGUAAGUGCUAAUAAAUGAGUGCAUAUUGUAAGAAAACUCAUGAAACAUACAAUUUAUAAAAAUAAAACAAGAUCACUGAGAGAUUAAACGAAAUUUUUUAAAGUUUCCGUGCAAAUACAUAUAUACUUUUAAAAAUCCCUGGAAUUAGCAUGUUUCUCAAAGGUGAUGAAAAGGUGACAUGAGAUGGAAGAAAUACCUCUAAACUUAGAAUUAGGAGGCCUGUGAUCUAGACACCACUUCUCGGUCAUUAACCAGAUGAGUGAAUCCAGCAAGUUUCACAAUCUCUUGGAUGGCAAUUUCCUUUUCUAAGAAAAAAUAAAUUUGGACUAAAUGCACUAAAGGCUUUUUCCAGGAUGACAUCCUUUGAGGUUGAUUGUUUUUGUUACUGUUGUUGUUAUUGUUGUUAAAAUGAUUAAUAUCAUAUGGCAUAAUAUAUAUUAUGCAUGGAUAAAAUGAUUAGAUAUAAAUUGCUUUCCUGUGUGUUGCCAUGAUAUGAACAUUGAAACCCCAUGGACUUAGGUAAGAAAGGACUUUAAAGCUGAGUAAACAGAACUUUAAUGAGACUCUAUGUUAGAUCUUCCAGAGGCCAGUCAGCACAAAUCAUUGCAUUGGAUUUUCAGUUGAGAUGACUGCUGUGCAAAUUCAUGACCUUUAUCACAUCAAUUGAAAUUCGCUUCCGGUGCCAGGUGAGAGUACCACACAGUCACCCAUAACCCUACUUCUAGAUUUCAGCUACUCCUCCAGGAACCCAGAAUUAUGAAGUUGGCAGCUGCUACAAGCUCUGCAGACAACGAGAAGGGCAUGUAACAAUGCCAUUCAAAAGUGGUUCAUGAACAGUAUGGUUCUCAAAAUGACACAUAUGAGCAUUUGUGUAUUUGCAACAGUAUUUUUUGCUAUAUGUUUGCCUAAUUUUGUACUGAUGAAUCAUCUCUUUAGGAAUGAAAUGACUAAAAAUUCUAUGAAGGGUUGGGUGUCUUUUAUUUUGGGAAAAGAAUCCAAACCCUACGGCAAGAGAGCCAUGAUUACUGGAGGUGCA